AGGAAAUUAGGUUAAUUAGACCAAGAGCCUUCAAAGCUCUAAGUAAGCACAUCCAAUGCUUAUCUCCUG
rnacentral:tRNA from 1 species